rnacentral:rRNA from 1 species
ACCGUAUGCGUACAAGCAGUGGGAGCCUACUUUGUUAGGUGACUGCGUACCUUUUGUAUAAUGGGUCAGCGACUUAUAUUCAGUGGCAAGCUUAACCGAAUAGGGGAGGCGUAGCGAAAGCGAGUCUUAAUAGGGCGUUUAGUCGCUGGGUAUAGACCCGAAACCGGGCGAUCUAUCCAUGGGCAGGUUGAAGGUUAGGUAACACUGACUGGAGGACCGAACCGACUACCGUUGAAAAGUUAGCGGAUGACCUGUGGAUCGGAGUGAAAGGCUAAUCAAGCUCGGAGAUAGCUGGUUCUCCUCGAAAGCUAUUUAGGUAGCGCCUCAUGUAUCACUGCUGGGGGUAGAGCACUGUUUCGGCUAGGGGGUCAUCCCGACUUACCAAACCGAUGCAAACUCCGAAUACCAGCAAGUGCCGAGCAUGGGAGACACACGGCGGGUGCUAACGUCCGUCGUGAAAAGGGAAACAACCCAGACCGUCAGCUAAGGUCCCAAAGUUAUGGUUAAGUGGGAAACGAUGUGGGAAGGCUUAGACAGCUAGGAGGUUGGCUUAGAAGCAGCCAUCCUUUAAAGAAAGCGUAAUAGCUCACUAGUCGAGUCGGCCUGCGCGGAAGAUGUAACGGGGCUCAAACCAUACACCGAAGCUACGGGUGUCACGUAAGUGACGCGGUAGAGGAGCGUUCUGUAAGCCUGUGAAGGUGAGUUGAGAAGCUUGCUGGAGGUAUCAGAAGUGCGAAUGCUGACAUGAGUAACGACAAUGGGAGUGAAAAACUCCCACGCCGAAAGACCAAGGGUUCCUGCGCAACGUUAAUCGACGCAGGGUUAGUCGGUCCCUAAGGCGAGGCUGAAAAGCGUAGUCGAUGGGAAACGGGUUAAUAUUCCCGUACUUCUAGUUACUGCGAUGGGGGGACGGAGAAGGCUAGGCCAGCACGGCGUUGGUUGUCCGUGUUUAAGGUGGUAGGCUGAUUUCUUAGGCAAAUCCGGGAAAUCAAGGCCGAGAACUGAUGACGAGCGUUCUUUUAGAAUGCGAAGUGGUUGAUGCCAUGCUUCCAGGAAAAGCCUCUAAGCUUCAGGUAACUAGGAACCGUACCCCAAACCGACACAGGUGGUUGGGUAGAGAAUACCAAGGCGCUUGAGAGAACUCGGGUGAAGGAACUAGGCAAAAUGGCACCGUAACUUCGGGAGAAGGUGCGCUGGUGAGGGUGAAGUAUUUACUACGUAAGCCCAUGCCAGUCGAAGAUACCAGGCCGCUGCGACUGUUUAUUAAAAACACAGCACUCUGCAAACACGAAAGUGGACGUAUAGGGUGUGACGCCUGCCCGGUGCCGGAAGGUUAAUUGAUGGGGUUAGCGCAAGCGAAGCUCUUGAUCGAAGCCCCGGUAAACGGCGGCCGUAACUAUAACGGUCCUAAGGUAGCGAAAUUCCUUGUCGGGUAAGUUCCGACCUGCACGAAUGGCGUAACGAUGGCGGCGCUGUCUCCACCCGAGACUCAGUGAAAUUGAAAUCGCUGUGAAGAUGCAGUGUAUCCGCGGCUAGACGGAAAGACCCCGUGAACCUUUACUGUAGCUUUGCACUGGACUUUGAGCCUGCUUGUGUAGGAUAGGUGGGAGGCUUUGAAGCGUGGACGCCAGUUCGCGUGGAGCCAUCCUUGAAAUACCACCCUGGCAUGCUUGAGGUUCUAACUCUGGUCCGUUAUCCGGAUCGAGGACAGUGUAUGGUGGGCAGUUUGACUGGGGCGGUCUCCUCCCAAAGAGUAACGGAGGAGUACGAAGGUGCGCUCAGACCGGUCGGAAAUCGGUCGUAGAGUAUAAAGGCAAAAGCGCGCUUGACUGCGAGACAGACACGUCGAGCAGGUACGAAAGUAGGUCUUAGUGAUCCGGUGGUUCUGUAUGGAAGGGCCAUCGCUCAACGGAUAAAAGGUACUCCGGGGAUAACAGGCUGAUACCGCCCAAGAGUUCAUAUCGACGGCGGUGUUUGGCACCUCGAUGUCGGCUCAUCACAUCCUGGGGCUGAAGCCGGUCCCAAGGGUAUGGCUGUUCGCCAUUUAAAGUGGUACGCGAGCUGGGUUUAGAACGUCGUGAGACAGUUCGGUCCCUAUCUGCCGUGGACGUUUGAGAUUUGAGAGGGGCUGACCUUAGUACGAGAGGACCGGGUUGGACGAACCUCUGGUGUUCCGGUUGUCACGCCAGUGGCAUUGCCGGGUAGCUACGUUCGGAAGAGAUAACCGCUGAAAGCAUCUAAGCGGGAAACUUGCCUCAAGAUGAGAUCUCACUGGAGCCUUGAGCUCCCUAAAGGGCCGUCGAAGACUACGACGUUGAUAGGCUGGGUGUGUAAGCGUUGU